rnacentral:rRNA from 1 species
UAGGGAAUCUUCGGCAAUGGGGGCAACCCUGACCGAGCAACGCCGCGUGAGUGAAGAAGGUUUUCGGAUCGUAAAGCUCUGUUGUAAGAGAAGAACGUGUGUGAGAGUGGAAAGUUCACACAGUGACGGUAACUUACCAGAAAGGGACGGCUAACUACGUGCCAGCAGCCGCGGUAAUACGUAGGUCCCGAGCGUUGUCCGGAUUUAUUGGGCGUAAAGCGUGCGCAGGCGGUUUAAUAAGUCUGAAGUUAAAGGCAGUGGCUUAACCAUUGUUCGCUUUGGAAACUGUUAAACUUGAGUGCAGAAGGGGAGAGUGGAAUUCCAUGUGUAGCGGUGAAAUGCGUAGAUAUAUGGAGGAACACCGGUGGCGAAAGCGGCUCUCUGGUCUGUAACUGACGCUGAGGCUCGAAAGCGUGGGGAGCAAACAGG